rnacentral:rRNA from 1 species
GACGAACGCUGGCGGCGUGCCUAAUACAUGCAAGUCGAACGCUUCUUUCCUCCCGAGUGCUUGCACUCAAUUGGAAAGAGGAGUGGCGGACGGGUGAGUAACACGUGGGUAACCUACCCAUCAGAGGGGGAUAACACUUGGAAACAGGUGCUAAUACCGCAUAACAGUUUAUGCCGCAUGGCAUAAGAGUGAAAGGCGCUUUCGGGUGUCGCUGAUGGAUGGACCCGCGGUGUAUUAGCUAGUUGGUGAGGUAACGGCUCACCAAGGCCACGAUGCAUAGCCGACCUGAGAGGGUGAUCGGCCACACUGGGACUGAGACACGGCCCAGACUCCUACGGGAGGCAGCAGUAGGGAAUCUUCGGCAAUGGACGAAAGUCUGACCGAGCAACGCCGCGUGAGUGAAGAAGGUUUUCGGAUCGUAAAACUCUGUUGUUAGAGAAGAACAAGGACGUUAGUAACUGAACGUCCCCUGACGGUAUCUAACCAGAAAGCCACGGCUAACUACGUG